rfam:Lysinibacillus sp. BF-4 contig00029, whole genome shotgun sequence.
AUAAUUUUGCGGGGGAACUUUUCGGUUGAGAAGGCGUAUGCCUGACCCUUUGAACCUGUUAGUUAAUACUAGCGUAGGGAGCAAAUUAGUAUGCCGU